rnacentral:rRNA from 1 species
AUACGGAGGAUGCGAGCGUUAUCCGGAUUUAUUGGGUUUAAAGGGUGCGCAGGCGGCCAUUUAAGUCAGCGGUUAAAUCGUGGGGCUCAACCCCAUUCUGCCGUUGAUACUGGGUGGCUUGAUUGCGGUCGAGGUUGGCGGAAUUCGUUGUGUAGCGGUGAAAUGCAUAGAUAUGACGAAGAACACCGAUUGCGUAGGCAGCUGACCAGACCGCAAAUGACGCUCAUGCACGAAAGUGCGGGGAUCGAACAGGAUUAGAUACCCUGGUAGUCCGCACAGUAAACGAUGAAUACUUGUUUUCGGCGAUAUAAUGUCGGAGGCAAAGCGAAAGCGAUAAGUAUUCCACCUGGGGAGUACGCCGGCAACGGUGAAACUUAAAGGAAUUGACGGGG